rnacentral:misc_RNA from 1 species
UUAACUUUUAUUUAUACAAAAUCAGACAAAUAUCAUUAUGAAUAAUAGUUUAAUAUUUUUGUUCUAUGGAAUAUUUUACUAAUUCCAUCAUCCAAUAACAGGUAAAAGUACACAGAAGGGUUUAAAGGGUCAAUUUACAUUUUAAUGAUCCUUCCGCAGGUUCACCUACGGAAA